CGAGUUCCCGUACGAUCACCGAAGUUAAGCAACGUCGAGCCUGGUCAGUACCUAAAUGGGCAACCGUUUGGGAAUAGUUGGUGCU